rnacentral:rRNA from 1 species
GAGUUUGAUCGUGGCUCAGAUUGAACGCUGGCGGCAUGCCUUACACAUGCAAGUCGAACGGUAACAGGUCUUCGGACGCUGACGAGUGGCGAACGGGUGAGUAAUACAUCGGAACGUGCCCAGUCGUGGGGGAUAACUACUCGAAAGAGUAGCUAAUACCGCAUACGAUCUGAGGAUGAAAGCGGGGGACCUUCGGACCUCGCGCGAUUGGAGCGGCCGAUGGCAGAUUAGGUAGUUGGUGGGAUAAAAGCUUACCAAGCCGACGAUCUGUAGCUGGUCUGAGAGGACGACCAGCCACACUGGGACUGAGACACGGCCCAGACUCCUACGGGAGGCAGCAGUGGGGAAUUUUGGACAAUGGGCGAAAGCCUGAUCCAGCAAUGCCGCGUGCAGGAUGAAGGCCUU